UACUAGAGUAGCACUCGCAUAUCAAUAAGCGGAGGAAAAGAAACUAACAAGGAUUCCCUUAGUAACGGCGAGUGAAGCGGGAAGAGCUCAAAUUUGAAAUCUUCAAGGUUCUACCUUGACGAAUUGUAGUUUAUAGAAGUGUUUUCUGUUAGUAGAGUGGCAAAAGUUCUUUGGAAUAGGACAUCAUAGAGGGUGAGAAUCCCGUAUUUGGUCAUUCCUUCCUAGCGUUGUGAUACACUUUCAAAGAGUCGGAUUGUUUGGGAAUGCAGUCCAAAAUGGGUGGUAAAUUUCAUCUAAAGCUAAAUAUUGGCGAGAGACCGAUAGCGAACAAGUACCGUGAGGGAAAGAUGAAAAGAACUUUGAAAAGAGAGUUAAACAGUACGUGAAAUUGUCAAAAGGGAAGCGUUUGACACCAGUGUUGUUUUUCCGAAAAUCAAUUACGAAUGUUUUGUUUUUGAGGAGUUAUGACUUCAUCGGCUUGCUCCUUUCUUUACGAAACUUUCUUAAUGCACUUUUCGGUUAACAAGUCAACAUCAAUUUCUUUUGUUGUAAAAGGGUAUGAGGAAGGUGGCUUUCUUUUCGGAGAAAGUGUUUAUAGCCUUGUGCCUCUGCAAUCGGAGAGAUUGAGGUCUGCAGCGUAGAUCCUUCGGGGUUAGAUACAUUUGUGCUAAGUUAUAGCUUUUCAUAGACAACUUGUUAGACUAUGUUUAGUCUUGUAGCCUACUCGCUUAUGCUAUUUUACCUACGCUUAGGAUGUUGAAGAUGUAGCACAUCAU
rnacentral:rRNA from 1 species